CUGCACUGACAAGUGUCUCCUUAGUCCUUUUCCUUGGCUUGGGGGUCUCAUUCCAGUGCUAGAUUAAAUCCCUUCUUGCAGAAAGGCCGGGCUCUCCUGUAGCCUGCCCCUUCCGAUAGCUGGGUACACUG